rnacentral:rRNA from 1 species
AGAGUUUGAUCCUGGCUCAGAACGAACGCUGGCGGCAGGCCUAACACAUGCAAGUCGAGCGCACCUUCGGGUGAGCGGCGGACGGGUUAGUAACGCGUGGGAACGUACCCUUUUCUACGGAAUAGCCUCGGGAAACUGAGAGUAAUACCGUAUAAGCCCUUCGGGGGAAAGAUUUAUCGGGAAAGGAUUGGCCCGCGUUAGAUUAGAUAGUUGGUGGGGUAAUGGCCUACCAAGUCUACGAUCUAUAGCUGGUUUUAGAGGAUGAUCAGCAACACUGGGACUGAGACACGGCCCAGACUCCUACGGGAGGCAGCAGUGGGGAAUCUUAGACAAUGGGCGCAAGCCUGAUCUAGCCAUGCCGCGUGUGUGAUGAAGGUCUUAGGAUCGUAAAGCACUUUCGCCAGGGAUGAUAAUGACAGUACCUGGUAAAGAAACCCCGGCUAACUCCGUGCCAGCAGCCGCGGUAAUACGGAGGGGGUUAGCGUUGUUCGGAAUUACUGGGCGUAAAGCGUACGUAGGCGGAUUGGAAAGUUGGGGGUGAAAUCCCAGGGCUCAACCCUGGAACUGCCUCCAAAACUAUCAGUCUAGAGUUCGAGAGAGGUGAGUGGAAUUCCAAGUGUAGAGGUGAAAUUCGUAGAUAUUUGGAGGAACACCAGUGGCGAAGGCGGCUCACUGGCUCGAUACUGACGCUGAGGUACGAAAGUGUGGGGAGCAAACAGGAUUAGAUACCCUGGUAGUCCACACCGUAAACGAUGAAUGCCAGUCGUCGGGCAGUAUACUGUUCGGUGACACACCUAACGGAUUAAGCAUUCCGCCUGGGGAGUACGGUCGCAAGAUUAAAACUCAAAGGAAUUGACGG